UGGGGAAUCUUGGACAAUGGGCGCAAGCCUGAUCCAGCCAUGCCGCGUGAGUGAAGAAGGCCUUCGGGUUGUAAAGCUCUUUUACCAGGGACGAUAAUGACGGUACCUGGAGAAUAAGCCCCGGCAAACUUCGUGCCAGCAGCCGCGGUAAUACGAAGGGGGCUAGCGUUGUUCGGAAUUACUGGGCGUAAAGCGUGCGCAGGCGGCUCCUUAAGUCAGAUGUGAAAUCCCCGGGCUUAACCUGGGAACUGCGUUUGAAACUGAGGGGCUAGAGUGUGGAAGAGGGGGGUGGAAUUCCAGGUGUAGCAGUGAAAUGCGUAGAGAUCUGGAGGAACACCGAUGGCGAAGGCAGCCCCCUGGGCUAACACUGACGCUCAUGCACGAAAGCGUGGGGAGCAAACAGGAUUAGAUACCCAAGUAGUCCCUGAGCGGGCUGGCAAGGCGCAU
rnacentral:rRNA from 1 species